rnacentral:lncRNA from 1 species
AAUAACGAUUAGGCCACGGUUUUUUAAUUUGUUGGUUUACGGAUUUUCUCCAUGAAAAAGUCGGGUCGGUCGGUCGGGAAAAAAAUAAAAAAAUAUCUUUCAAGACAGAAAACUGAUAUGCAAAAUAAAUAUAUAUUUCACCUUUCUAUAAUAAUAUGUUUGUUAUCCUAUUUUGUCAUCAUUUCUUAAAUUUUAGUUUAAUGAAAUAUUAUUGCUCAGUUGUAAUAAAAAUUGCAUGACAUUGCCUAAUAAUUUCCUGUAAAAAAGGGGGGUGCACGGACAAAGACGUAAUUAAAUUUCAUAAAGGAAGACAAAUUCACAUAGCUCUUAAUCAAUUCCAGAAAACUUGGUGAAUAAUGAUCUUCAAGAACGAAAACUGAUAAAGAAAUAAAUGUAAAAGCGUGGUAAGAAAAUAAUUUUCAACACGCGCGUCAAAAACGUAAUAGACUCGUCCACUGGAAAAAAUGAGAAUAUCGGGUUAAUCUGUUGUCACGCAUUCCCGUUUUUAUCCAAAUGGACGAAAUUUUUUUAUUAUAUAUGAAACAAGAAAAUUUUAAAUGAUCUGUUAAUAUUCAGUACUUUAACUUGAUGUCCUGAACUUCCACCUGUCCACAUUUGGACAAGUCUAUUUCUAUGAGAAGAUGCAUCUUACGGACUGUUGACAAAUAAGAGAAACGAACUUAUUGUGUAAUUGGUUUUAAACACGGGUUUUGUUCCACAAAAAUAUUUGUCCAAACGACAUGUCAAGGUCAUUAAUAAUUGAUUUAUCUAUUUUUAGAAACGUAAACUGGAAGUUUCAUUUUUUCACAACAGAAAGUGUUAUCAAUUCUGUUAGUGAUUAAUGCAUUUCAUUUUAUAAAAAAAAGGAUAAUUUAUUUAUUUUUCAGGGAUAAUGCAUUUGUUAGGGACGGCGGGAAUGAAAAAGCAUGAAAAGUCAAUUUUUAUUUUUAUUCUGGAAAUCGGCAAAAUCAGGUCGGCGGAUCCGUAAACCAACAAAUUAAAAAAUCCUGGCCU